rnacentral:lncRNA from 1 species
AGGAGACUACGGUGUAAGGCGCUAUAGUAUGGUAGCGGUAAUGGAAGAGCAAUGCUAGUGUGGCAAUUCCUAUAUGUGACUUGGAUAGCGAUAGUGAGGUUCGCAUCAGUAUCAUGUGUGCAGUCAGCACGAGCAUGGUGUUAGAUUUAGUUAGCUAUUAUGGCAAGAGGGAAAUCUAAUUUGCUCAGCAGAGAUUGUGGUCAUAGAAGAAGAAAAGGGUGCACAGUUGUAGGUGGAGUCACG